AGUCGAACGGGACUGAUGACCUUGCUUCUCAUGACCCGUGGCGUACGGGUGCACGCGUAUGCACCUACCUUCACUCAGGAGGCUAGCCCGAAGAAAUUCGGAUUAACACCGCAUAAUAUUACUGGAUGGCAUCAUUCGGUGAUCCAAUAUUUAUAGGAUGAAGAUGGGCCUGCGUGUCAUUAGCUAAUUGGUGAGGUAAUGGCUCACCAAGACGACGAUGACUAAGGGAUCUGAGAGGAUGAACCCCCACAACUGGAUACUGAGAACACCAGACCAUACUCCUACGGGACGGCAGCGGUACAGGAACUAUUGGUCAAUGGAGUGCACACUCAUGAACCAG
rnacentral:rRNA from 1 species